GAGAUGACCAAAGAGGUAUUCGUGAUCUCAAGCAACAUUUGUUUCAGCACUUCCAAACCAAGGACUUAGGUCGACUAAAGUAUUUUCUUGGAAUUGAAGUAGCCCAGUCAAAAUCAGGUAUUGGAGGGUCUUGAUGCUGUUCUUGGUGUUGGAGGUGUGUCUGAUCCUGCCCGAGAUCAUUAUGAUCAUCACCAGAAGGCAGAAAGGAUUUGAGGAUGUUUUUGGGCAUGGUUUCCCCACUAAGUUGAGUAUUGCUGGUCUUGUUUAUAAGACUGCAGACGGGACUUGGGAUUCGUUUUUGCUCCUUUGUGACAAUAAAUCUGAUUGGUUAACUUUCAGUUGCAAAGGUUGUUCGAAAAUAUUUGAUGUCCCAACAAUGAGGGGGAGUAACCUGAAGAGCAUGACGUUGUCUAUUGUCAAUUACUCUUCCUCGAAAAACAUAACAUCAGAAGGUUGCCAAGGUUUGUUAAUCAUAAAUUACACAAAGACAAACCAUUCAAGCAUAUAAAAGAGAUACACUAACCUCCUUUGACGAUGAGGAUUGGUAGACCAUAACCUCAAAUCUAAGUGGAAGCUAUUGUUGUUUUUGGGAGGGUUUCAUUGUUGACAAGACUACAGUAUCUCUCUUAUAUGAUGAACCACUCGACAAAGAAAUGGAAUGCUGUCAUGUAGUAGACAGGGAGAAUGUUAUUGUUUUUGGCAAUGAUGGUAAUGAUGUUAGUGGUUCUGGUGGUGAUAACGAAGUCAUCAAUCAGUUUAGAGAGGAAACGGUGAACCACAUGCAGAUCACCAUGUAAGCUGGUGGGUUAUAUGCUGAUGUCAUGGGACCAGUACAACUAGUACCACAAGACCCUGACCAGCCUGCAGAGGCAGCAGUUGAGGAGAUUCCUGCAGCUGAAGCAUAUGGUGAUCAGGAGCAACAAGUUCCUGUACCCAAGUGUCAGCCUGAGCAGCAGGCAACAGCUGCGCCUGAGGCCAUUGGGACGGCCUUAGGAGCUCAGAUUUUGGAUGCCCUUGGAGUGGUGACGACUAAUUUUUUCAAACUAGAGCAGAUUGUUACUGCUAGGUUGAAUGCAGUAGCGGUCAGAUUAGAGGAGCUUGAGGCUGCCAUGGCCCAGAUACCGCGUGGGUCGAAUUCCGAGUUCACUAACGUUGAGAGCUAGAUCUCAG